rnacentral:misc_RNA from 1 species
AGUGAAGGAGAUCCCGAGUGCAGGAGAUCCGAAAAUGAUUGCAAAAGAAGCUACGAUUGCGGAAGGUGAAACGAUUCUCGGGAAAAGGGGCGGCUGGACAUUCGAGCCACGGAAAAAGGGAGUUUAAUUACGUAGCCAGUUCGCAUUGCGCAUCCAACUUCUUACCAAGAUGAAAUUGGCUUUCCUUAUUAAAAUUUAAGAUAUUCGAGAAUCUAUCGACGUAAUCACCAAAUGUCAUUAACCAUUUAAUUGCCACGUUAAUUCGGUAGUUUAGAAUCGGAUCAUGCUCUUCUAUGAUUAAACAAUUUUCUAAUAAUCGAAAAUGUACGAAAGAUUUGUCGACUAUGUUAAAAC